ensembl:lncRNA
GAUCUUAGUGCCCUGACCAGGGAUUGAACCCAGGCACCCUGCAUUGGGAGCAUGGAGUCUUAAGCCAAUGGGCCCCCAGGGAAGUCCCCCUCUCCUGUUGUAUGAACACCAGUCAUUGGAUUUAGGGCUCACCCAAAUCCUAGAUGACCUCAUCUUCACUUAAUCACACCAGCAAAGACCCUGUUUCCAAAUAAGGUCACACUCACAGGUCCUGGGAUUAAGACUUGAACAUAACCUUUUUCAGGGCACACAAUUUCACACACAACAUAUGGAGAGAAAUGAAGGGAUUCGAGAAAUAUCAAAACAAGAGAAAUCUUAAUGAUUAUUUGGGGGGAGGAAGGAGGGAAAACAGAACAAAGAGUAAAAUGACUCAAAUACUGUUACAUACAUAACAAAGCCUGGAGUGAUGCUGGUGUCUUGCUCCUCUCUGAAUGAGAUCCUUAGGGUAGGGUUUCAGGAACUUGAUUCCAAUAUAUUGGGAUCAGUAAACAUCUUGCUGAAAUAAACUUUCUGCCUGAGAGCCUGUCUCCCUUACCCGUGGGGCAGGUCUGGGGAGGGAGGAGCUGGAAGAGCACAUGCCCUUUGCCCAUGGAGUCCCCGGCUGAUCGCACUAACUUCAAUUCAGAACACACUGGAAAGCCAAAAUCAAGAUCACAGAGUGCUGGGGACACCUGAAGCUGCUCCAUGUCUUAGCUGCCUCAAAGAAAGGAUGGAAUGGGAGACCAUGGGCCUUUCUCAAGGAGGACCAUCUAGAGGACCGUGCUCAGAGGUUCUGAUGCUCUGGAGGACGUGGGAAGACACAGAUUACUGGGCCUCACCCCAGAGUGUCUGAUUCAGCAGGUCUGGGGUAAGGACCCAAAGUUUGCAUUUCUGUGUUGUUCCCAUUUCUGAGAAUGGAGAACCACAGCCAGAGAUGAACGGCUCUCAGCCCUGGUUGCGUGUAGGGGUCACUGUGCUGUGCUGUGCUUUGUUGCUCAGUUGUGCUGGACUCUUUGCGACCCCAUGGACUGUAACCUCCAGGUUACCUGAAUUCUCCAGGUAAGAAUACUGGAGUGGGCUGCCAUGCCCUUCUCCGGGGGAUCUUCCUGACCCAGGGAUAUGGGGAGUUAAAAAUACUAAUGCCAGUGCUGGAUCCCAGACUGCCAGAAUCUUCAAGGAUGGAGCAUUACCUCUGACUUUAGAGUACCCCAGGAUUCUAAAGGAUAGUCAGGUUUGAGGUUAGCAUCAUUCUAUCACUAUGAUUGGCUGAGCAGUAGACACAGUGACAAAAUUCUGGACAAUAAGACAAGGGGGUGGUUGCUGGGGGACUUCUGGGUUAAUAACCACUGUCUUGCAUUGCAGAAGAUACUACAGCAGGAAGACGGAAAGAAUCUGAGUUCUCAGUGGUGUCCAUACUUGACCACUGAAACUGAGAACCCCGAAGCUGCACCAUCUCAGGACUUCCUGAGAUGUGGAAGUAAUAAAUGUCUUUAUUAUUAAAUGGCA